AAUAUAUAUAUAUAUGGUUAAUAAUAUAUUUAGAAGAAGAAGAAAAAGGACCUAUGAUGAAAGGGAAGGAUAUCCAACCGCCAUUGUUAUUGCUGCGUGCUGCAGGAGAAGACUGCACCUUUGUUGCAGCUUCAUCUACACACUGGACAGCUGGUUUCUCCAUUGCUGCAUUAACUCUACUGUUUAUCCUGAUCUCUUUUAGUUUCUCUAGGACUGAUUACUUCUUUGUUUUUAUUCUUUUCGGUUUGUUUGUGGGUUCAACUUAUGAUGUCAAACUUAUAUGGAG
rnacentral:lncRNA from 1 species